rnacentral:rRNA from 1 species
ACGAACGCUGGCGGCGUGCUUAACCCCUGCAAGUCGAACGGAAAGGCCCUGCUUUUGUGGGGUGCUCGAGUGGCGGACGGGUGAGUAACACGUGAGUAACCUGCCCUUGACUUUGGGAUAACUUCAGGAAACUGGGGCUAAUACCGGAUAGGAGCUCCUGCUGCAUGGUGGGGGUUGGAAAGUUUCGGCGGUUGGGGAUGGACUCGCGGCUUAUCAGCUUGUUGGUGGGGUAGUGGCUUACCAAGGCUUUGACGGGUAGCCGGCCUGAGAGGGUGACCGGCCACAUUGGGACUGAGAUACAGCCCAGACUCCUACGGGAGGCAGCAGUGGGGAAUAUUGCACAAUGGGCGGAAGCCUGAUGCAGCAACGCCGCGUGCGGGAUGACGGCCUUCGGGUUGUAAACCGCUUUCGCCUGUGACGAAGCGUGAGUGACGGUAAUGGGUAAAGAAGCACCGGCUAACUACGUG